CAUACUGGAAAGCUUUUCAGAAUGUCGGACAAUUUUUCAUAAUUUCUUAUCACUUCUGUCCUAAAAACUUCAUUUUUCCAGGGAAUUAAAUAAUAAUUGUGCAGAGUGUUUGAAAGAAGCACGACAGAUAAGGUGCAUUCUGCAAGAGCUGCAAAAUGAAAUGAUGAUCAGACGAUAAUCUUAUAUGUUUCCUUCAUCUUCUGUUUCCAGCAGCUUGGAAGGCCAUGCCUGGAGCACUCUGCUUGUUUUUUGGCUCUUCAGUUGGAAAAAAAAUCACAUCCUGGAGACAGUCCUUCAGAAG